AUUGAACGCUGGCGGCAGGCCUAACACAUGCAAGUCGAGCGAGCGGCGGACGGGUGUGUAAUGUCUGGGAAACUGCCUGAUGGAGGGGGAUAACCACUGGAAACGGUAGCUAAUACCGCAUAAUAUCAGAUGCGCUCAGAUGGGAAUAGCUAGGAGGGGGGGUAAGGGCUCACCUAGGCGAAGAUCCCUAGCUGGGCUGAGAGGAUGACCAGCCACACUGGAACUGAGACCAGGUCCAGAAUCCUACGGGAGGCAGCAGUGGGGAAUAUUGCACAAUGGGCGCAAGCCUGAUGCAGCCAUGCCGCGUGUGUGAAGAAGGCCUUCGGGUUGUAAAGCACUUUCAGCGGGGAGGCGUUACUCGCAGAAGAGGCACCGGCUAAGUCCGUGCCAGCAGCCGCGGUAAUUC
rnacentral:rRNA from 1 species